UGGGGCGUCGCCAAACGGUAAGGCACCGGGCUCUGACCCCGGCAUUUGUAGGUUCGAUUCCUACCGCCCCAGUCA
rnacentral:tRNA from 1 species